rnacentral:rRNA from 1 species
GAUGAACGCUGGCGGCGUGCCUAAUACAUGCAAGUCGAGCGAACAGACGAGGAGCUUGCUCCUCUGACGUUAGCGGCGGACGGGUGAGUAACACGUGGAUAACCUACCUAUAAGACUGGGAUAACUUCGGGAAACCGGAGCUAAUCCCGGAUAAUAUAUUGAACCGCAUGGUUCAAUAGUGAAAGACGGUUUUGCUGUCACUUAUAGAUGGAUCCGCGCCGCAUUAGCUAGUUGGUAAGGUAACGGCUUACCAAGGCAACGAUGCGUAGCCGACCUGUGAGGGUGAUCGGCCACACUGGAACUGAAACACGGUCCAGAGUCCUACGGGAGGCAGCAGUAGGGAAUCUGCCGCAAUGGGCGAAAGCCUGACGGAGCGACGCCGCGUGAGUGAUGAAGGUCUUCGGAGCGUAAAACUCUGUUAUGAGGGAAGAACAAAUGUGUAAGUAACUAUGCACGGCUUGACGGUACCUAAUCAGAAAGCCACGGCUAACUACGUG